rnacentral:lncRNA from 1 species
CAUGGUAUAUUAAGAUAUGAAAAUUUACCAAAAUGCCCUCGGUGCAAAAAAAAAAAAAAAAAAUUGCCCUCUUGAAGAGUUGACCGGUACCGAUGGUAUCAAAUACCAGUCAUCCUCUUUUAAAGGAUGCAUCUUGACCGUCCAUUUAAAAAAUUUUAAUGGUUAAGAUUUUUUUGAUGUAUAGGAGCAUUGCUCUAACAACUAUCCCCUAACUCUAUUUACCUGUAAACAAAUAAUACACAGUCUAUAUGCAGGAUUUCGGGCGCUCGCCCUAAACUUCGGACACCUGAUCUAUUGUUGGUGUGCCUGGUUGAGAAAUA